GGAUUAAUCUGCCAACAUUUCCAACAAUUUCUGUGUUUGUUCCCUUUUGGAUAAAAUAAAUUAACUUGGUAACAGGAGGCCAAGGAGAUGGUGGAAGAAUAACUUUGUGAGUGGAAGUAUGUGAACAGUGGCAAACUGCAGAGAUUCUCAUCAACUCAGAAGAAUGGCAGAUGGAGUUUAAUCCAGACAAGUGCGAGAUGGUCCAUUUAGAAGGUCAAGUGCAAGAGGAAAGUAUAUUGUAAAUGGCAGUAUCCUCAGGUUGGGAGUUACUAAAUUACAAUCCUAUUGUGGCUUGCAAACAUUUUAAAUCAGGUAAGUUCC